CAAACACCAAGGUUUUCCUUCUUUUCCAUAUGGAAUGUGAGAGGAAGAACGACCACCGAAAUGUGGCCUCAGCAAGCACCAAGAGCAUGCAUGGACAGUAAAAGGUGCUCUUUGCUCUGGAGAUGGAAUGGGAGAGGAAGAACGUCCACCGAAAUGUGGCAUCGG